AAUUCAUGGUUUGGAUGGGGGUGCAACGAAUUAGGUAACUAUGCUUAAUAGUGCCGAGAUUUUAGAGGGGUCCAUUUGUACACCUAAGGUUGAAAUAACAUGGCCCAAAUAAUCGAUGGAGGUCCGGCCCAAGGAGCAUUUCUUCUCAUUUGCUUGGUUUUGCUGUAAAAGCUCCAAAGUUUGCCAGUGAAGCAAAUGGUCA
rnacentral:misc_RNA from 1 species